UACGUAGGUGGCAAGCGUUGUCCGGAUUUAUUGGGCGUAAAGCGAGCGCAGGUGGUUUAAUAAGUCUGAUGUAAAAGGCAGUGGCUCAACCAUUGUGUGCAUUGGAAACUGUUAGACUUGAGUGCAGUAGAGGAGAGUGGAAUUCCAUGUGUAGCGGUGAAAUGCGUAGAUAUAUGGAGGAACACCGGUGGCGAAAGCGGCUCUCUGGACUGUAACUGACACUGAGGCUCGAAAGCGUGGGUAGCAAACAGG
rnacentral:rRNA from 1 species